rnacentral:rRNA from 1 species
GACGAACGCUGGCGGCGUGCUUAACACAUGCAAGUCGAACGGAAAGGCCCUGCUUUUGUGGGGUGCUCGAGUGGCGAACGGGUGAGUAACACGUGAGUAACCUGCCCUUGACUUUGGGAUAACUUCAGGAAACUGGGGCUAAUACCGGAUAGGAGCUCCUGCUGCAUGGUGGGGGUUGGAAAGUUUCGGCGGUUGGGGAUGGACUCGCGGCUUAUCAGCUUGAUGGUGGGGUAGUGGCUUACCAAGGCUUUGACGGGUAGCCGGCCUGAGAGGGUGACCGGCCACAUUGGGACUGAGAUACGGCCCAGACUCCUACGGGAGGCAGCAGUGGGGAAUAUUGCACAAUGGGCGGAAGCCUGAUGCAGCAACGCCGCGUGCGGGAUGACGGCCUUCGGGUUAUAAACCGCUUUCGCCUGUGACGAAGCGUGAGUGACGGUAAUGGGUAAAGAAGCACCGGCUAACUACGUG